UGAGUAACACGUGAGUGACCUGCCUUUUAGACUGGAACAACUUACCGAAAGGUGAGCUAAGUGCCGGAUGAGGUUAUAUAAGUGCAUGUUUAUAUAGGAAAAGUUGGGGAGACCUGACGCUGAAAGAUGGACUCGCGUCCCAUUAGCUAGUUGGUAGGGUAAUGGCCUACCAAGGCGACGAUGGGUAGCCGGCCUGAGAGGGUGGCCGGCCACACUGGGACUGAGACACGGCCCAGACUCCUACGGAAGGCAGCAG
rnacentral:rRNA from 1 species